GAGGCAUCAGGAACAGCUCGGG
rnacentral:miRNA from 1 species